CCUACGGGCGGCAGCAGGGAGGAAUAUUGGGCAAUGGGCGGAAGCCUGAACCAGCCAAGUCGCGGGAGGGAUGAAGGUGCUAUGGAGAGUAAACCUCUGUUAUAAGGGAAUAAAGUGCGGGACGUGUCCCGUUUUGUAUGUACCUUAUGAAUAAGGAUCGGCUAACUCCGUGCCAGCAGCCGCGGUAAUACGGAGGGACCGUGCGUUAUCCGGAUUUAUUGGGUUUAAAGGGUGCGUAGGCGGCCUUUUCAGUCAGCGGUGAAAGUCUGUGGCUCAACCAUAGAAUGGCCGUUGAAACUGGGAGGCUUGAGUAUGUUUGCGGCAGGCGGCAUGCGUGGUGUAGCGGUGAAAUGCUUAGAUCUCACGCAGAACCCCGAUUGCGAAGGCAGCCUGCCAAGCCAUGACUGACGCUGAUGCACGAAAGCGUGGGGAUCAAACAGGAUUAGAUACCCCAGUAGUC
rnacentral:rRNA from 1 species